UGGGGAAUAUUGCACAAUGGGCGAAAGCCUGAUGCAGCAACGCCGCGUGAGUGAUGAAGGCCUUCGGGUUGUAAAGCUCUGUCUUUUGGGACGAUAAUGACGGUACCAAAGGAGGAAGCCACGGCUAACUACGUGCCAGCAGCCGCGGUAAUACGUAGGUGGCAAGCGUUGUCCGGAUUUACUGGGCGUAAAGGAUGCGUAGACGGAUUUUUAAGUGAGAUGUGAAAACCCUAAGCUUAACUUGGGGACUGCAUUUCAUACUGGAAAUCUAGAGUGCGGGAGAGGAGAAUGGAAUUCCUAGUGUAGCGGUGAAAUGCGUAGAGAUUAGGAAGAACACCAGUGGCGAAGGCGAUUCUCUGGACCGUAACUGACGCUGAGGCAUGAAAGCGUGGGUAGCAAACAGGAUUAGAUACCCUGGUAGUCCACGCCGUAAACGAUGAGUACUAGGUGUAGGAGGUAUCGACCCCUUCUGUGCCGCAGUUAACACAAUAAGUACUCCGCCUGGGAAGUACGAUCGCAAGAUUAAAACUU
rnacentral:rRNA from 1 species